rnacentral:rRNA from 1 species
CCUACGGGAGGCUGCAGUGGGGAAUAUUGCACAAUGGGGGAAACCCUGAUGCAGCGACGCCGCGUGAGUGAAGAAGUAAUUCGGUAUGUAAAGCUCUAUCAGCAGGGAAGAAAAUGACGGUACCUGAGUAAGAAGCCCCGGCUAACUACGUGCCAGCAGCCGCGGUAAUACGUAGGGGGCAAGCGUUAUCCGGAUUUACUGGGUGUAAAGGGAGCGUAGACGGCAGUGCAAGUCUGAAGUGAAAGGCGGGGGCUCAACCCCCGGACUGCUCUGGAAACUGUACGGCUGGAGUGCAGGAGAGGUAAGUGGAAUUCCUAGUGUAGCGGUGAAAUGCGUAGAUAUUAGGAGGAACACCAGUGGCGAAGGCGGCUUACUGGACUGUAACUGACGUUGAGGCUCGAAAGCGUGGGGAGCAAACAGGAUUAGAUACCCCAGUAGUC